rnacentral:rRNA from 1 species
CGGGGAGGUAGUGACGAAAAAUAACGAUACGGGACUCAUCCGAGGCCCCGUAAUCGGAAUGAGUACACUUUAAAUCCUUUAACGAGGACCAAUUGGAGGGCAAGUCUGGUGCCAGCAGCCGCGGUAAUUCCAGCUCCAAUAGCGUAUAUUAAAGUUGUUGCGGUUAAAAAGCUCGUAGUUGAAUCUGUGUGUCACAGUGUCGGUUCACCGCUCGCGGUGCUUAACUGGCAUUAUGUGGUACGUCCUACCGGUGGGCUUAGCUCCUCGCGGGCGGUCCAACUAAUAUCCCAUCGCGGUGCUCUUCACUGAGUGUCGAGGUGGGCCGGUACGUUUACUUUGAACAAAUUAGAGUGCUCAAAGCAGGCUACCUUCGCCUGAAUACUCUGUGCAUGGAAUAAUGGAAUAGGACCUCGGUUCUAUUUUGUUGGUUUUCGGAACCCCGAGGUAAUGAUUAAUAGGGACAGAUGGGGGCAUUCGUAUUGCGACGUUAGAGGUGAAAUUCUUGGAUCGUCGCAAGACGGACAGAAGCGAAAGCAUUUGCCAAAAAUGUUUUCAUUAAUCAAGAACGAAAGUUAGAGGUUCGAAGGCGAUCAGAUACCGCCCUAGUUCUAACCAUAAACGAUGCCAGCUAGCGAUCCGCCGAAGUUCCUCCGAUGACUCGGCGGGCAGCUUCCGGGAAACCAAAGCUUUUGGGUUCCGGGGGAAGUAUGGUUGCAAAGCUGAAACUUAAAGGAAUUGACGGAAGGGCACCACCAGGAGUGGAGCCUGCGGCUUAAUUUGACUC